CUCAUUGCUCUCUUUGUGGCCGUAGCUGUAUGAUAAGGUGUCCCUGAUCAUCAUUUCUUUGCUCAGAAACAUAUUCCAGCAGAAUAAAUUGCUACUGAAAACUUAAUCUGUUACGCCAUUUCAUCAGACUAAUACCAAAGGAUCUGAAAAAUUCAGGCCUGAAAGAUCAAAAACAUUCACAUUGCAAGUCCCUGAGGAGGCAGGCAUUGACCUCCAUGCAAGAAAGAAGCAGAAGGAAAUUGAUGAGCUGUUGGUCUCCUGGAAAUAAGUAACUGUUUCAGAAUUGGUAACUAGAGCAACAAGGAAAAUGGAUAAACUCCAUGCAGAGACUUUAUUGAAUGCAGAUUUUUUUAAAAGUAUGUGUCUAUCUUUCAGUUCAUAAUAUUUUUUUCUCAUUAGUUAGUGUAAAUGCACAAUGUCCCAGUUUAGUUUAACACCAGCUCAUGUUGGGAACAAUAACAUUUUUCUUUGUAAAAAACAAAUCAACCCAUCCCCAAGCCCAUAUGAGCUUUUAAAUAAGAAAUCCAUUAGAAUGAGGGGGACAUAUUUUCCCUUGAUAUUCCUGGAGCAGGAUGCAAUGUUGAAUUUUCAUCAACAAAGGAACUGAGGGAAUAUAUUAGACUCCCUGCUCUCCAUCAUUUAUGAUUAAUAAUUAUGGAGAGUAUUGUAAUGGAAAACUAAGAAUACGCAAUAUAGUAUCCAAUAAGCAAGCAAUGACAGAUAGCAGGGGCUUAAAUAGGAGUCUUUCACACUAUAACAUUAGUUGCAAUUUCCAUUCAUAAUUGUCUUAUUUUGUAAAAGUACUUUAAAUGACUAA